UACAGAGGUCUCAAGCGUUGUUCGGAUUCAUUGGGCGUAAAGGGUGCGCAGGCGGCGCGGUAAGUCGGGUGUGAAAUCUCGGAGCUUAACUCCGAAACUGCAUUCGAUACUGCCGUGCUUGAGGACUGGAGAGGAGACUGGAAUUUACGGUGUAGCGGUGAAAUGCGUAGAUAUCGUAAGGAAGACCAGUGGCGAAGGCGGGUCUCUGGACAGUUCCUGACGCUGAGGCACGAAGGUCAGGGGAGCAAACAGG
rnacentral:rRNA from 1 species